CCCAUAAAAUACGAUCCUUCGGGCAUGAUCUACCUUAAUUUGAUGACUUUUAGUUGAUUUAUAUUAAUUUUAUUUCAUACGAAAACCGUGCGAAGAAUUAAAGCUCGCGUGUUGUGAAUUUUCUUUCCAUCUUUCCACUUUGAUUAUUAUUUGCAUGCGAAUGCAACAUUCAGCGAAAAGGUCUUUUAAACAUAACGUGAUUUAGGUACAGCGCAGAGCUCGCGUUGUGGUUUUCCCCCGAGCCAAACAAUAAUGCGCGUGUGAUGCUGGCACACAAAUCCUGUAACCGAACCGUUUAAUCGUAUUUACCAGAAAGCAGCGAAACCCUGUUAUACUAACUCGAUGUAAUAUUUAUAGAGAACCGUGAUAUUCGACGCAGCAUUACAUCACUUUGUAAAUAUAAGUUGUCCUUAAAGAUCCGCGAAGAUAGUUUGUUGCCAGAGAGUACGAAAUUCUGUGUCGAAAAGUAUUUAAAAGUUUAUUGAUCCGAGAACUCCCUGAUGAGUUAUCAGCGAUUGAAAGCUCGACCAAUCGGAGACGCGCAGAAGUUGGCGUCGGUGGGCGGGGCGAUGCUUCUGAUUGGUUCCAUUUCGAAGUUGAAUAUUUCCAGAAGUAUUGGUCGGACAAAAAAACUCCCAAAGACUUUUCGGCUCAGAAUUCUAUUCCGCAUCCGAAGAGUGACAACUCAUUACGAUUUUAAGGACACCCUAUACCUGGGUGCAAGUACACUUCUGUUUCCUACGAUACGCGAAUGCAUCGAAUUAGAAUUUAAUAACGAGUAACAUGUAACUGAAGCUCGAGAGGUUGCUAAUUAUUCCUGAAAAUUAUCCAGGUGUACACAGAACUGAAUUUAGCAAAACGAAAAUCGAGAGAAUUGUUUAUUUAGUAAAUUAAUGUAUUCGCACAUAACAAACGGGUCGACGAUUCGCAUGACAAUUUCGGCGAACUGCAUUCAUACUUGCAUCAAUAACGAACCAUUUUCCACCGGAACAACCCGAAAUUUGCAGAUGGAAUAGCGAUUCAAAAAUUUUUCAAUAAUUCCAUCUAUUCGAAUAACAAUUUUGAUCUUCGCAUGGAAAUAAAUUCCAGCGAAAGCGUAAACAACCAGCACGAACAAAUCCUCGACUAUUUUCAUUAGUCCAAGCAACUGAAUCGCCUGUAAUUACACACAAAAACUUUUCUCUCCCCAACUCCCAUAAGCCUAACAUAUUAGAACGACGAUCCACAGGAAUGUGAUCUCCGGUACGUAUGUAAACAGACAGAUUAAAAUAUAAUUCUGCACUGAUGAGGAAAUUCCUCUUGAAACUGAAUCUUACCACUAACCACUAUUUAAUUCCUCGUGUUAUUUGAUACAUCAUUUUUUUUCAACUCAAGCCCUCUUGAUACUCGAGACUAAAUACAAAUCCACACAAAAUAUUAAAAUUACGAUGACGAAGAGUGACGUUCCUGUAUCUGGAACAAGACUAUUUAUCCAAGCUCAAAGAAACAUUGUUCGAUAAUGAAAUAUAAAUAAAUUGUGAACCAAAAAAUUUCAGAGUUGAUCGCAACUGCUGAGAUUGUCGUGAAAAAUAACACGAAAAGAUCUUCCUUCGAAACUGAAUGAUUAAAGCCUUUUCUGAAAAAAUAAUUUUUCCAACAACUUGGCCAAGUUCUGUAUACAAAUACAUAAUUUAUAACCGUUGAACAUAUACAGUUAUUAUUUCGUCGAGACUCUUGUCGUAUGGCAAUUGAGGAUGAUGAAUAAGCGACGCUCUUGAAACACUUGUCAUUAAAACAACACAUGAAAUCUACUCUGUACUGCUUGAGUAUGUACAGGGUGUCUCCAAAGUGGGGGAAGGAGACUUUUACAGAAAAAAUUAAGCGUGGGUUAUCGCAAAGUAAUAUUGGUCGAAAUGGAAAUAAAAAAGUGGCUAUUUUUCGUGAAUCGCUCGUUUGUUCUGCUCUGCGGAAGAAUGGGCCGAAAAUUUCGAGAUUCCCUGAAAACAGAGCCGCACACAUUCGUGUUUAGAAGCAUGACGCCGAAUGAUCUUCGCGACCAACGGAAUUUCCGAGAUUGUGGAAGCGUCGCAGGCGUUUUCAACCGCUUGACUGGUGUGCAGACGAAAUAUUAAGAGACUCGGUUCGGUCAAUGUCACACGGACUGUCUCAUUUUCCACGUACAGACCGGUCGAUAACACGGAGAAUUCGCGUCGUAGAAUUGAUCGAGCAAUCCAAGAAACGCUUCAACUGCAUGCUCAGUAUUUCUACGGAUACUUCAAAUACAGUGUGUCCCAAAAGUCACGGUAAACUUAAUUCGAGGCUGAUCGUCCAUUUUUUGAAAGUUUAUCCUUCUGCUUGAGAUGUUGAGAAAAAAAAGUUGCUCAUUCACCAAAAUGCUUUUUCGUUGUAUCAAAAAACGAUGAAUUCAACUGUUUUUUUUUUUUUUUUUUGAGAAAUUAUUUAUCGUUUGGAAAAAAUAUAAUCGAAUCCAUUGUUUUCGUCUUUCUAAAUGGAUUUUGCUCGAUGAACAAAAUUUUCUGCAGUGUCCAAUCCGACGAAUUGACAAUUAUUGUUUAAUCGGUAUUUCGUUAAGGGGGGUCCUGCUUUAGAAAGUUAAAAAAAUCGAUUGUUUCCGAGAAUGUUUUUGGAUAGACGGAAAUAACUCACGAUAGCGAACUUUUGAUAUUUCAAAAGCACAAAAACGCUUUUUCAUGUGAGAAAUACUAAUUUGUAUAUCGUUUAUGCGCAAAGUCUGUUAAAGUUUCUCAGCUGCAUAGAAUGUGGAGAUCGGAAUUAUUGUCUGGAACGAAAAUUCCAAGUUCUUUUCCCAUUUUCAUAUAUUUUCCUUCCAUAUGAACCUAUGAAAACCCGAAAAAAUUGCGAAGUUCUAUAUUUUUAACGAGUUUGAAAAAAACCUCGUGAAAUAUCCUUGAAACUGUAUCGAAAAGUUUGCUAUGGUGAGGUAUUCCCGUUUAUCCAAAAAAAUUCCCGAAAACAAUCGAUUUUUUUGACUCCCUUAAGCAGGACCCCCAUAAAACUGUGUGUUGUAAAUGGAAAUGGCUAAUGACUUAUAUUUUCAGAUUUUCCCAACACAUUCGCCCAAAAAUCGACAGGUUUGAACUGCCAGACACACUGUAUGCGUCGCAGGCGAAAAUAACUCGCGUGUUUAUGAACGAAUUAUUCGUUCUCGCAUUCGGUAGCGCAUUCGUUUAAAGAGAUCGCGUUUUCUCUCUCCCUCUUUUCCUGUGUGUCUGUGCCAUUAUUUUUCUCUUUUUUCUCUCCAUCUCCCUCUAGUGAGCGUCUCUUUAUCCUCGAGCCUACAAAAGCAACGUUAACACGCGAUUACGUAAAAUUUACGCACGACACUCGUUACCACUUUUCUCCCUCCUUUUGCCUUCUCACUUGCGGUUUUGUCGCGUUGCGUAAGCGCUGUUCAACACUAUCGAACUUCAGUGACUUUUCGCUCGCUCUAUGGCUCACCAAUACCGAUUAAUCGAUCAUCGAUAAUGUGGAAUUUCAUCGAAUUCACAUUCCCAGCAACGCUUUCGUCCCGCCGAUGAAAAAUUCUUCGAUUCAUUAUUUUUAGCAUAUAUUUUCCUCGAUAUUCGAUCAAAUUCUUUUGCAGUUUAACCGAAAAAUAUUUUCCAGAGCCUCACGAUGCAUGGAUUUUCGAUGGGUUUCUUCCCUCGACUUCGUUUUCCUGAUUUUAUUGUUCAAUUAAAUUUCAAUUGUAAAUUAAUUAAUACACUUCGGUCGUAAUUGGACUAUCAAAAUGAGGAGGGCAUUCCACCGAGUCUCGAGCAAUCAAGCUCUGGUCAUUAGCAGACCUUAGACGGAAGCUCAUUCGCUUCACUUUGAUGCAAUACUGCAGCUCUCUGCGUUGACACCCUGUUGUGACUGAUUACGAUCGUUCAAUAUCUUCCGGAAAUACAACGGAGCACCAUAUAACAUCGUGCUUUGCAAUCCGACAGCGAAUUUAAGUGAAUGGAAUCGGAAAGUGUACGGGAAUAUGGGACAUUCCGAUCGCGGGGUUUUCCAGAUCCGCACCCAAAAUCCAAGAAGACAGAUUCGUUGAAUUCUCACCGACAACUUCAAAUCGAACUAAAUCGUAACGUUUUUGCCUUGUUCGAUUGAGAACAGCCUGUAAAUUUGGUUACAAUGACAGUGUGAGGGUGGAUCGCAUCGUUGGCAACGCACAGAGCAUCGGUGCCGCGUACAGUUUGAGUAAUUGUAAUUGAGCAUUGCUCUUGGUAAUCCGAAUACGUACUGUAUAAACCGGAGAACACUGUCCCCGACUAUGUAUAAUAUUCACAACGGAGAACAGCCCGACCUGCUACGUGCACAAAACAAUUGACGUGUCUCCAGGAAUCAUCCGAAUGGAUCAAUGAGCGAGUGGCUUUGAACUCAUUUCCGGAUUAUACGAUGAAUUAUUGGCGUUGUAAAAAUCGUCGUUAAAGUAGUUCACUCGUUUUAUGACUAGUCAAGUUUGCAACUACUUUAUGUUGAUUUAUUUCAAGUCUAAAUUAUUAAUAAUAUUAAUAAACACUUACAUUGAUAAUAUUUUUAUGAUAAGAAUGUAAUA
rnacentral:lncRNA from 1 species